CGACAUGCCAGGCCAAAUUUGGGUCAAAUGGGCGAAAAUUUGAGUUUCUAAAAAAUUUCGAGGUGCCAUGCGACGUGUGGCAUAACGUGUCAGGUUGAGGCACUUCAAAAUGAGAGAAGUUCACUUAUUUCUACUGUAUUUUGGAGAGAUUUUGAGAGCAAGAACGACUUGAUUAGGGAUUCACCAAUCCACCCAAGGUUUUCACCCAAAAAAUCAAGCGUUCGUCAAGACCCAGGGUUUGUGGAGGCAUCAUUCAAGAUACGUUUCGUUACCUAUUAGUAUUAAAGUUAGUAAUUUUAUGACAGACUAUGACUACAGAUUAUGAAAUUUAUAAGAGUUAUGGGUAGAAAGUUAUGAAAAGUUAUUGCUGGCCAAUAAAGCCUCGAGUGAAUUAUGGGUGUUGAGUUAGUAGGACAAAAUAAUGAUUGUAACUGCUUAACUGUAGAUUUUGAGGAGCCGAAUUCGUGAGUUCUUGGAAGGAAAAACUUGAGCACCCCAUUAGAGGUGAUUUGAACUUUCUUCCCUAAGUAAAGGGCUAUAUUAAAAUGUGAAUAGUAUAUUGCUUGCUUGCUUGCCUUACUAUAUAUAUACAAUGAAAACCUCUAAUACGAGAAAUCUUAAAUAGUAUGCCUUGUUGUAAUUAUUUGA